AGCAGGCUUCGGGCAGGGAGCUCACAGCUGCGUCUCCCUCUGAGCCACGCAGCUUUUAUGGCCUGAGAGGGGUCGAGCAAGGCGCCAUAGUGAAGCAGCGUCUGGAGGCCGUAAUGUCUGUAUCCGUCUCGCUUCCCGAUGCAACGUGGUCAAGUUGUAAUGAAGGAUCUUUCCAUUGUUCUGAGUCCGAAGAUCUGGACAUAUAGGUGGCCUGCAAUGCUAAGUAUUUUGCAACAGAUCUUUCAGAAAUGGAAACCGGAUCUGUCAUGGCCACCAUGAUGGUGCUAAUAUACAGCUCAUGCUGUGACCUAGAAUUCAAUUCAGAAUGCUUGGAAUCAGUGGGAAAGGUGGGGAAAGGUAACCCAGUCCCAUUGUCCAUGGAAUUACAAAUGUAUCUUCCAGUCAUCCUCUUCCUUUCUCUGCUGUUCCCUGAAGUAUUGACUGCAUUUCCUUCAUCACAAACAAACCUCUCUGUGGAAACCCCCAUUCCUGGAAUAUUGGUUCCAGAUGUACAUCAGAUAUGGUCCAUUCAUUCAUUUCUGCUGUGCUCUGAGACAUGCUUAGACGGUCUGUUGUAGUAUUCCGUUUGCCUUCCAUAGGUAUGGCUAAAGCCAACACUAUGUUUCUUAUACACCAGUCUCAUAAAUGCAUUGUGAAAUGGCACAGAAAGGGUGACACUGUAACGCCCCCACCAACAUUUGUUUACAUAUGCUGUGGCUGACAUAGUGUCCAUUGCCACAUGCACAACCCUGUCCUGAAUUAUCGGAAAGAAUGACUUCAGAGCAUGAAACAGAACGAGUAACCCUUUCCCCAAUGUCCUCUUAAUCAUAUGACCCCAACAAUGUGCUCCCUUGGCCAUUAGGGAAGAAUUGGUGGUCACUACUUUUGAUGGUUGAGGAAGUUGAAAAGGCAUUCCUUUCAGGAAAUUUUUGCUGUCCUCCCACCAUCUCAGUGGCUGCAAUAUACUCAUUUGUAUUUGUAGACAUUUAUGUGGAUUGUCUUUGUUUGGUUGAAACAUAGCAUUCAACCAAAAUUACAAAGGCCUCAUUUUUAGUUUCAGUAGAGGGACUACUACUGUACAGGAUGCCAUCAGUCCCAGAAGACACUGAAAGUUCUCUGUUUUAUACUUUGUAUUCUGCUGGUCUUGGGCUGUAACAAACGAAUUGAACUGAAUGCUCUUUGCUGAUUGAAUAGCUUGAAUACCCGGACCCUGAGCCAUUUUUGGAAGGACGGUAUAUAAAUUAAAUAAAUAAAAAUAAUAAGUAAAAUAAAUAAACAGAAAAGCUCUUUUAGUGAUGUUGAGGACCGCUUUCUUCUCCUUUGUGGAGAUGUGUCUGAGUUGAAAGAAAGCACUGAUUUUUUCUUCUUCCUUUUAAUAUGUUCAGAGAUGUCCUGCUGACGUACUCAGAUUUUUGUGCUCCCUGAUUGUGGAUUGUUUGCUGUGCUGCAAUGAUCUGGACAACUUAUCAGCAUGCUUAGCAGUGACUCCUGGACGUGGAUCCCCCUGACCCAUUAUAUUCUCCUGCAUAAAAUCAUUGGAAGUUCUUCUGGUGGUUUCUAGACUUCCAACUGCAAAGUUGUCUAUACCAAUGUUGGUAACGGAGAAAGGAACUCUUGAAAAGCAAAAUUCCCUUGAUCUGGCCCAGAGACUGGGUGAAAAGAGAACUGAAGGGAGGGCACUCCAACUGCUGUUCUUCAAUGGAUAUGUUGCCUAUCUGCGGGCAAAACUGGAGCAUCACACGGAGCUCUAAGAGUGUCCCUAGGUCUCGACUGCACAUGCACACCCCACUAUGUAUGGAUUCCAGGAGGAUCUUGACAAGGAUCUUUCCCCCACUUUUAAACAUAAAAAUAGCUUCUGCAGUAAUGAAAAGGUGGCAUAGGCUUUGAUCUAGAGAAGUGUCAGCGGAAGGAUGCCUGUGCAGGAAGACUUUCCCAUCCCCCUUUCAUAUUGCAUCCUGAAAAGCCACUCCUAAGAACCCACCAGAAUGGCACGGGAUAUGGUGAAGGAGGACGCAAGGGGAGGGGAGGAAGGCUGAAAUUGGGUAAAGGCACAUUGAGCAAUCCCUCACCGGAAGUGUGAUAAACACAGUAACAUCACAUAGAGGAAUAUGUGGAACUUAUUUCUCCACUUGACUGGAACAGAAUUAGUAACUAGAGUAGGAACUUCAGUAAGCACAGAAUAGUUCAAAACCAGCCACUGUAGUCUGCAUUGCUACACUUCAGUGCACAUUUCAGAAAACAGACAAACUUUCCCCCACUUCACAUAAUGUGUUAGUAUUCACCCUCUCUCUAAUCUCAAAGCCUUCAGCAUGUAACACCUUUUCAAUUUUGAAAUUAUUUCAACAAUCAUAACGACUAAAAUAUACUCUUUUUCCGUUCUUGUUUUUUAAAAAUGCGUUUCUCAGAAAUUCCUCAAAGCGCAGUUGUGUAAGUCAGGAAGUUUAGCCAUGGCUUCAACUAUAACUUCAGUCCUUCCAUU